GGUGAUGAUUACGAGGAGGAAAUACCCGUUCCCAUGCCGAACACGGAAGUCAAGCUCCUUAGUGCCGAAGAUACUUGCGAGUUACCUUGCUGGAAAAAUAGGAAGUUGCCA
rnacentral:rRNA from 1 species